GUGUUAAUAUAUUCAGAAGAACUGUAUCUCCAGUUCCUUUGUUUGUUUUUUGCUGGUUCGUGAAUAAUGGCUGGACGACAUCUCGCGUUCAACUCGUCUUCAACUCCUCUCUGCGGUCAGCAACUUUCCCCCAGUCCGCAGACAGACGAGAAGAAACUGCUGAAUGCUCUCAGUGGAUUGUCUCGUCAACUCCAACAACAAACUGCCGAUAUCAAUGAGCGGUUCGCUCAACUGGAGAGUUCGGUACUCUCCAGGUUGCUGUCCAUAGAGGAGAGGUUGGCGGCUCUGGAGGAACUGACUCAAAGAAGAGGAGACAGGCGCACAAUCCCAAGAUAGCGGAAGCGGUGCGCCGUCUUCACAACUCUGAGACGAAUUACAGGCGCUACGAACCGGAGCAAGGACUAAUCUCGCCUCAUAAUGAGGCGGUGACCUCGUAUUUGCUCCGGGAAAUAUCUGCAAGUCCAGAUUUCGAUUUAGAUAAAGACGUCAUUGUGUCCGCCUGUAAGAUGUAUUUUGAGACGGUAUGCAGGAGCUUCAGGUUUUCCCAGCCGGAACACUCAUUGCGGGCAGAAGGUGCGAAGAAUUCAGCGCGGAGUCGAGCGAGAAGAAAGAGGGUAAGAGUUUAUUUGCUUACUUUUUUCAGAUGCAUUGAUAGAUGUGUUGUGUGCAUCGCAUCGCACAGUACUGAUUCAUUGUUGUAUUUACAGCCGCUGGAAUCGAGACAAACAGCGUGGUUACAUGGGUUCGAAUAACUGGCUUAGUCGGACUGAAAUCGAAUUAUCCGUUUCAUGUAAACACCUUUGUCCGACUAUGUGCGGUCCGACUACAAUCCGACUAACACUCCUGGAUAACUCGAUCUGAUCCAGUUGAUAGUUUGACUUUUGCGGCAUGUAACGGUGAAUCGGAUAAGGAACUGGACUUUGCGUCUUUGCUCAUGCUUGAGAUCCCGACGGCGUCUUCUCUCCGUUAUCAAAUCAGCCGAUAGCGCCAUUCGCAUCCGCUGUACUCCUAUUAACAUCAUGCAAAAAUAGUAGAGGGAUGUAGCUUCACCUUGCUCUCUGUUUGCCAUCUUUCGCAUAAUGUUGAUGUUGUUGUUGGUUGUUGUUGGUAGUGGUGAAGAGGUCAAGCGAAAAUGGCUGUAUCACAACUAGUUGUAAUGAAAACAGCGCCACCUAUCGUAUCGGAUAUGACAUGCUUUCGGCCAAUGAUUAAAUUUAUUCACUGCCAUGUAUAUUGGGAUAAUAGCACUUGCCCCAAAAGAUAGCACAGUCCGACUAAGCAAAGAUUCAAAUUAUACCAUCAUGUAAACACUCACUGUGUGCUGGCUGAUGACGAGGUGGAACUCUGGAAAUCUGCCACCGUAGCGCUCAUGUCAGACGAAGAGGAUGGC
ensembl:lncRNA